GGCUCGAUGGCGGAGUGGUGACGCAGCGGAUUGCAAAUCCGUGUACGCCGGUUCGAUUCCGGCUCGAGCCUCCA
rnacentral:tRNA from 4 species